GGCCCAGGCUGCCCCCGAUGAUGCUCUCGAUGGAGAAGGGCGAGCGCGCCAGCGCCGAGGCGCCCGGCCGCCCGCCUUGGCCGCCGCGGCCUGCAGGGGCCCGGGCAGCGCGGCGCCGAGCGGCGGCGGCGGCCGCUCCUCCAGCUCGUCCUCCCCGGCGUACGAGCGCCGCCGCCGCCGCCGCUGCGCGGGGACCUCCAACCGCGCCCCGCCGCCGCCGCCGCCGCCGCCCUCGUCGUCGUCCUCCUCUUCCUCGUCGUCUUCGUCCUCGCCCUCCCCCACCACGUCGAUGUCUGUCUCCUCGGCGAGGCCCGAGGCAUCGGACAUCUCCGUGCUCAGGGUCAUGGCUGUGGCGCGGCGGCGGCGAGGCGGCUGUGCAUAGGGGCGCCGGGCUCCGGGCUCCCGCCGCGCCCCAGCCGGGGUCCCGGGCGGCGGGCCGGGCCGGGGGGCGCCACGCUGGGGGCGCGGCGGCGGCGGCGGCUCGAGCUGCG
rnacentral:lncRNA from 1 species